UACGGGGGGAGCAAGCGUUGUUCGGAUUUACUGGGCGUAAAGGGCGCGUAGGCGGUCAGCACAAGUCAGUUGUGAAAUCUCCGAGCUUAACUCGGAACGGUCAACUGAUACUGUGCGGCUAGAGUGCGGAAGGGGCAACUGGAAUUCUUGGUGUAGCGGUGAAAUGCGUAGAUAUCAAGAGGAACACCUGCGGCGAAGGCGGGUUGCUGGGCCGACACUGACGCUGAGGCGCGAAAGCCAGGGGAGCAAACGGG
rnacentral:rRNA from 1 species